rnacentral:lncRNA from 1 species
UCUGCAAGUGGUGUGAGGACCUUUGUGUUGAAUUGUGUAAUGACUGUUUUGCCCCUGGAAUGAAAUGAGUAGCCCUUUUAUCAAAAUAUUUGUGCCUACAUGUAAUACUUUGGUUGCUUAUGCCUUUAUGCUUGUUGGAUGUGGAUAUUUGCUCGAUAUGUAUUUAUCUUGCUCGCUUUAAUUGCAUUCUAGCCUCUUGGCUAACCAACAUGCUUCGUUGUGCAGAUUAACGUGUAGACAGAUCGGCUGACUUGUCUUGAUAGUGUUCAAGUCAAGUGCCACACGGUCCUAACUGAGUGCCAAAGCCUGGGCCCGUGACAUUUGGAGUAUUUUGUAAU